rnacentral:sRNA from 14 species
UGUGCCGACGGAUCGACACAGUGCUCAAGGAUGAGUGCUCAGGGACAAUCGCAGGACGUGAUUCAUCAGGAUGAUGAAAGGGACAAAAGGGAAUAGGGAAAAAAUGUGGGCGGGUCAAACCGCCCCUUUUUUU